UCUCUCCUAAUGGACGAGGUCUGACACUAGGUUACCUCUUACUGAAUAUGGAAUACCUACUGUUUAUAAAUAUGAAGUGUUAAUCUUUGAAUUAAUUACAGUGAUGAACGUGGCAGUGGCAAAGAGUUGUCAAACGGUUUUGAGGACGGGCGACACUUGUUUAUAGAGACAAUGACCGGAAUAUACCUAUUGUUACUGAUUACUAUUGCUGCCGGCGCUGCGUCGCCAUAUUGGAAAGAUACGUCGCAUUGUUGUAAGGCGGGAGACUGGGAUUCCUGCUUCUGUUUAGAUCAAUAUAAAGCUGGCAUAUGUAUUGAAAAGCGAUGUUUUGGCUGCGACGGGUGUAAAGCGAAGCCGAAGUUAAAGUGAUUGUGAGUGCUAAAGAAUCGUGCGGGGGUCGGUUAAACAGGCAAUGACUCAAAAAGACGAAAAUAUCCUUAUCAAUAGGCUCAUUACAGACUACGUACGAGUCCAGGUGGGUGGAAACUAUUGGUUAAAGAUUGACUGCAGGAAGACUACCGGAACCCCACCAAACACCGAAAGUGAAAUUCAGCGCUCAGCCGGAAAAUUUAUGAGCAGUUUUAGCGAAUAUAUUUUUGAUCGUGACAAAUAUUUGAAACCAAAAGGGUAAAAGAAGUGACGAUGGCGUCAGUGACUUUUCUUCAACAUAACAUUUAGUUAGUUAUGGGUUUUACUUCCUCCCUCGCAGUUGCCUAAAUUGUAUGAAGACUGUGUGUGGAACCACGCGCAGAUAAAAAAACCCGCUCGAAGGCUAUUGUUAAAUUAUUUAUAGGGAACAAAAAUUAAUCAUGAAGACUGUCCGUUGAACCACUCGGGUAUUUCAUAACUUUCAGCAUAUACAUAUAAUUUAAUGCAGGUGUUCAUGGCAAAAUUAUCUUUAUGGAACAAACAUAUCUAAAACAGAAGGAAAAACACAUUAUUUUUUCUUGCUCGUCUGUUUGAUAAGAAUUCAGUCGAAAAAAAUGAUGUAAAGCAAGUUAUGACUCAAAUGACAAAAAUCUUAUACCCCCUUCCCCCCUACACAAACAAAAGUCUAUAACAACAGAGAAUACCGAUAUAAAAACGAUCAUAAAACGAGGGCAAAUACGAGCACAAAAUACAAAUUUGCAAGGAGUACAAGGAAACUUAGACCAGGUGUCCUGGAAGAAUAAGCGUCUUCUACUUAUCGACGACACUGCAAUAAAAAUCUUGGUCAAAUACGCGUUAGUCAUCAACAAUAAAUACAAUUAUAUUCUAGUUGUAUCGUAGCAUAGCUUACAAAACUUAGAGGAAUCGCUUCAAGGGAAGAAUCGAAAUAAGAAAUAUUGUAUUUCCCAUUUAAGCUAUUUGAAAAUGUUGGGUUCUCUAUAAUUAUGUUGCUGCUAUAGCAUCCUCAGUUAUUUAUUAUUUCAUUUAACAUACCUUUCAAAUUCUCUAAAUCGCUUUCGCCAGAUAUGGGCGACAAAUCCCGAGGUUUUCAAGAUCAGUAAGUAGCUAACCAUAAACAGCUGACCGGUCAGAUUUUUGGAGCAUGCGAUUAUGGUCAAUUUUAGACUAAAUAUUCCCAGGAUGAAGAUAAGUUUAUGUCUGUACCUUUUAAUUUUAACUUCCAUGGAAAUUGACGAGUGGGUGUGUGUGCAUGCGUGAGUGCGUGCGUGUUUGAAUGUGUCUGUGUUAGGUUAUGUGAAGGAGGGUGUGCGUGCAUGUGUGUUUAUGAGUGCUCAUCAUUCAAGUAUUAAACCACAUUUUAGUUCUCAUUUGGGUUAAGACAAAAAGUGUUCCUUGAACAAAAUCAUGUUUUUAUUGUUGACCUGCCAUGUUGUACUGCAUGUUCACAUGAUUUAUGUAAUGUUCACCAAUACGUGUGUUUUAUGCUAGAUCAUCGUAAAAUAUGAGAUUUAUGUCAAUCGCAACAUGUCAGGGACAUUUCCGGCAAUCUUCGGAAAUCCCAAAGAUUGCCGGUAAUUUCCCCGAGAUGAUAUGAUUGGAUUUAUAUGUGUACGGGCUAUUUCUCCCACAGUUCACCGGUUUAUCUCCAGUUUUAGAGGUGAAAUAUUUCUCUGUCAAUCCCUAGGGUAAGACAGAUUGCACGCGCCUACCUUCUAAACCGGAAGUAUUCAUGGAAGUACUUUUUGAGUGACAUCACUAAUAGUUCCCGCGUUGUUAUUCAAUGUUAAAUAUGCGUAUGAGAUUUUCAUGAAAUGACAAGAUGUUCUGUUGUUAACAUCAAAAUAGCAUCACUGAUACCUUCUUUCAGUGUCUUUUUGAAUAAAUAUUGUGAACAUUUUUUAGACCUAUGUUUUCUUGUGUAAUGAUAUUGGGAUGCAUUUUUUGGGGUUGUGAUGGGUACUUCUUCAAAUGAGGAUAUUCAUGCGCCAACCAUGUGCAUUUGCUUACAAACAUACCUUGACCACCGAUUUGAUAUGUAAUUAUUUAAAGAGGUGGGAGAAAAUAAUCAUUCCCUACCUAGGGAGUGUGACAAAGAAAUCUCAACCCUCGAGGAAAUUCACGAAUGUCCAUUCCUCGGCAAGCCUCGGGUUGGACAUUCAUGAAUUCUCCCUCGGGCAGAGAUUUUUUGUCACACCCCCAAGGCAGGAGAAGAUUCUAUUAAUCACUCGUCACAUCUCGACCGAUUCCGUACCGGCCGAGGUUAGACGAUUGCGGGUUAUACAUUAGUACAUACGAUAAUUAAAGCUCAAUGUCCUUGACAUUUUCAAGUCUUGCGAUCUAUCAAUUUAUUUGUUGAAUUAGAGUAUAAUUACUUUUAUUUUACUAUGAUGGCGUGGUGAUGACCAUACGGACUUUAUAAUUGUAUUUGACACUGUAUUGGUUGUUUUAUGAGUGUUUAUUUGUUAGCACGUAUUACAUUGGUGCAAAAUUAAUGUUUUCUUUGUUUGAAUAAAAUUAUAUCAAUUACAAGAAUUUUUAAGUGUAAAAAUAUGCUUAUUCGGAAUGAACGUAAAAAGAGCAAAUAAACAAGAAUGUCUGAAGUAAAAAAUUGUCAUUAAUUGCUCAGUACGUAAUUAUAUUAUCAAAUUUAUACUGUAUUGUUAGAUAAUAAUUCCAAUAACACAUAGGCAUGGACAUCUUCGCAAGCCAAGGCUGUCUAUGUUCGUGGGGUGUAACGCAAUCAAAAGCCUUGGCGAGCGAAGAUGUGGCAGAACAUACCGACUUGUCUUAUCUGAUCUAUCGGAGUUCCUUUCCAUUGUCUCUCUCUUGGUAAUACGACAAAUUGACAUCCGAUGGGGACGAGAAUGCCUUGUUAUAUAUAUAAUAUUGGGUAAGACUUCCUUUUGUAACCCCACCUCUAACUGAAAAUAAGUUGAUACACAUUAAGAGAAAUAUAUUUACCUGACAUUUACGCGUAGUAUGUGUAUUAUGAUGCAUCCAUUAGGAAAGUUUCUAACAUUUUUCUUACACCAUGCACCUCCACAUAUAUUCUACAUGAACUUCAUUUUUGAAUCGGUGUGCAAAAUGAAGUCUUUCCUAGUAUUGUCCCUGGAAAGGGUAAAUAAUUCCAAUUCGUAAAUUUCAUGAAUUUAAAUGGUGUAUUCUAGGUUGCUAUGAUUUUUGCCAAAUUCCUUUCGAAUACUUCAAAUAAAAUCUAUCAAACUGA